rnacentral:rRNA from 1 species
AGCACCGGCUAACUACGUGCCAGCAGCCGCGGUAAUACGUAGGGUGCAAGCGUUAAUCGGAAUUACUGGGCGUAAAGCGUGCGCAGGCGGUUUUGUAAGACGGAUGUGAAAUCCCCGGGCUCAACCUGGGAACUGCAUUCGUGACUGCAAGGCUAGAGUAUGGCAGAGGGGGGUAGAAUUCCACGUGUAGCAGUGAAAUGCGUAGAGAUGUGGAGGAAUACCGAUGGCGAAGGCAGCCCCCUGGGCCAAUACUGACGCUCAUGCACGAAAGCGUGGGGAGCAAACAGGAUUAGAUACCCUGGUAGUCCACGCCCUAAACGAUGUCAACUAGUUGUUGGGGAUUCAUUUCCUUAGUAACGUAGCUAACGCGUGAAGUUGACCGCCUGGGGAGUACGGUCGCAAGAUUAAAACUCAAAGGAAUUGACGGGGACCCGCACAAGCGGUGGAUGAUGUGGAUUAAUUCGAUGCAAC